rnacentral:rRNA from 1 species
UCCGUGGGUGAAACCUGCGGAAAGGUCUUUUAAAA